rnacentral:rRNA from 1 species
GAUGAACGCUGGCGGCGUGCCUAAUACAUGCAAGUCGAGCGAACAGACGAGGAGCUUGCUCCUCAGACGUUAGCGGCGGACGGGUGAGUAACACGUGGAUAAACUCCCUAUAAGACUGGGAUAAAUUCGGGAAACCGGAGCUAAUACCGGAUAAUAUAUUGAACCGCAUGGUUCAAUAGUGAAAGACGGUUUUGCUGUCACUUAUAGAUGGAUCCGCGCCGCAUUAGCUAGUUGGUAAGGUAACGGCUUACCAAGGCGCCGAUGCGUAGCCGACCUGAGAGGGUGAUCGGCCACACUGGAACUGGGACACGGUCCAGACUCCUACGGGAGGCAGCAGGAGGGAAUCUUCCGCAAUGGGCGAAGGCCUGACGGAGCAACGCCGCGUGAGUGAUGAAGGUCUUCGGAUCGUAAAACUCUGUUAUUAGGGAAGAACAAAUGUGUAAGUAACUAUGCACGUCUUGACGGUACCUAAUCAGAAAGCCACGGCUAACUACGUG